GUCUACGGCCAUGCUACCCUGAACAAGCCCGAUCUCGCCUGAUCUCGGAAGCUAAGCAAGGUCAGGCCAGGUUAGUACUUGGAUGGGAGACCACCUAGGAAGACCAGGUGCUGUAGGCA
rnacentral:rRNA from 1 species